UACGGAAGGCAGCAGUGGGGAAUAUUGCACAAUGGGCGCAAGCCUGAUGCAGCCAUGCCGCGUGUAUGAAGAAGGCCUUCGGGUUGUAAAGUACUUUCAGUCGUGAGGAAGGUGUUAAGGUUAAUAACCUUAGCAAUUGACGUUAGCGACAGAAGAAGCACCGGCUAACUCCGUGCCAGCAGCCGCGGUAAUACGGAGGGUGCGAGCGUUAAUCGGAAUUACUGGGCGUAAAGGGCACGCAGGCGGUUAAUAAGUUGGAUGUGAAUCCCCGGGCUUAACCUGGGAAUGGCAUUCAAGACUGGUUAGCUAGAGUCUUGUAGAGGGGGUAGAAUUCCAUGUGUAGCGGUGAAAUGCGUAGAGAUGUGGAGGAAUACCGGGUGGCGAAGGCGGCCCCUGGGACAAAGACUGACGCUCAUGUGCGAAAGCGUGGGGAGCAAACGAGGAUUAGAUACC
rnacentral:rRNA from 1 species